AUUAUUUUAGUAAAAGUUAUUAUGUUGCCUUGAUAAGGUAGAGUUCGUUCAGAGAUAAUA
rnacentral:tRNA from 1 species